rnacentral:rRNA from 1 species
UGCGUAGGCGGCCGCUUAAGUAGGGUGUGAAAUGUCCCGGCUCAACCGGGGAAUGGCGCUUUAAACUGGGUGGCUCGAGUGAGAUAGAGGUGUGCGGAACUUCCGGUGGAGCGGUGAAAUGUGUUGAUAUCGGAGGGAACACCAUUGGCGAAAGCGGCACACUGGGUCUUAACUGACGCUGAGGCACGAAAGCCAGGGGAGCAAACGG